CCUACGGGAGGCAGCAGUGAGGAAUAUUGGUCAAUGGGCGCGAGCCUGAACCAGCCAAGUAGCGUGAAGGAUGACUGCCCUACGGGUUGUAAACAUCUUUUGUAAAGGAAUAAAGUGAGGCACGAGUGCCUUUUUGUAUGUACUUUAUGAAUAAGGAUCGGCUCACUCCGUGCCAGCAGCCGCGGUAAUAUGGUGGAUCCGAGCGUUAUCCGGAUUUAUUGGGUUUAAAGGGAGCGUAGGUGGGUUGUUAAGUCGGAUGUGAAAGGUUGGGGCUCAACCGUAAAAUUGCAAUUGAUACUGGCUGCCUUGAGUACAGUUGAGGUAGGCGGAAUUCGUGGUGUAGCGGUGAAAUGCGUAGAGAUCACGAAGAACUCCGAUGGCGAAGGCAGCUUACUAAACUGCCACUGACAUUGAUGCGCGAAAGUGUGGGUAUCAAACAGGAUUAGAUACCCCUGUAGUC
rnacentral:rRNA from 1 species